GAAAGGCAUUUUGAACUUGAAAUGUUCUUUUACCUACAGAAAUGUAUCUGCAGCAAAGUGAGAAGGCUAUGUGUGGAAGUCAUCACUGCUCCAUCUGUGAAGACUGGCCUUUCAAGUCUGUCAAAAGUAAAGUUAUAUUUGCAGGAGGUUCAUUCGUGGUAAUCUCCUCCAGCUCCCCAGGAGUGCUCAACACCCGACCCUGAGUGCCUGUGCCCUGAGCAGCGACACGGUACCUGCAGGGAGGAGGCCACAUUUCCAAGUACAACACCAGACCGUACCCUUACGCCUCACACUUUCACUGCACAUAAUGGCUGUGCACACUCUCAAGCUACUGUCACCGGAUGCUUACUGCCCUCUCCAGAUCCACGCCCUGCCUGUCCUGGGCAGCUGUACCCACUCAGGGUCUUGAUCUUUUAUUGCCUUAAGUAAGAGUCUAUAUGCAUGUGUCUAGAUGGGGAAGUAACUUUCAUAUCUCUUUAGUGCAUUCAUAGGGUUCAAGAAAA